CCUGUCCUCUGUUACUCUCCUCUCAGCUGUUUCUUCCUCCGCUGCCUUCUGUUUCCUCGCUCGUCUGCUGUCUCUCCAGCUCAGGAGCAGGUGAAAUGCCAGGCUGAGAGCUGACCCUGGAAAUAGUCACACCCAGCUCCUCUCUCUCCUCGCCUCCUUCCUCCCCUCAUCUCUCAGCUGAGCGCCAAUUAAGGCAAACUGGCAUUCUGGACAAGCCGGUGUGAGGGGGAGGUUUUUGGAUUUGGCUGAGGUCCCAUCGUGGAGCAGAAGUCGCAGAGUAACUGUCUUGCUCUCUUGUGUCCUGCUGGUCUGCAGAGAGCUGCUGUUUUUCUCCAGUUAGACUAAACUACACUGCUAGCAUACGGCAGGGAGACAGACAGGUCAGUCUGUGGUCUAAAUGCCAGCUGUGCUGUGGAGCAGCGGCCUGUGAGGUGCCUGACCUGCCUGACCUAAGCCUUCCAGCUAGCAAUGCCUGACCCACUUCGCUCAAACACAACAUUAACUUUUGCAAUUUAAGUCUACAUAAAUACACACAUUAAAUACUUUUUGACCCUAAUUAUCCAUGUAAGAGGACAUGAGCCACAUGUUUCAGGGUUUUGGGGGAGAUAAAGGUGGAGUUCUUUCACCACAAAGGAAAGACUUCUGAUCCAAAUGGCUAUAAUCAAUAUUUUUCUGAGAAGAAUAUAUCAAAUGACAAUUUGAAAACAGUGUUGAACCUGCAGAGAACUAUCACCAGAAACUGCAGCUCCCCUCAGCUUUAGGUGUUUUAGAACAAGUUUCAGCUCCUCAUUUAACUGUCCAGUCAGCAACCCUACUGUAUUAAUUCACUCUCACCACUCUCAUAGCAGCAGGAAGACACAGUAAGCAACUAGCUGGUGAAUAUAGGCGAAGGCCAUAUGUUGCCCUCAAGAGUUGCUAGAGACCACAAAAUGAGCUAAAAUGAGAGUGAAUACUGGACUUACAUUCACCAGGUGGCCACAGACAUGACUCAAAAUGAAUGAUAAUGUUGCACAGUAACUGCUGGAUGUGUAAAUAAGCAAUUCUUUGCAGACUGCUUCGCCAUAUAAACUUAAAAUGAUGUUGAUGUCGUGUUCAGGACUUGUUUCCACUGUCCCCAAGUAGCCAAAAAAAUUACCGGCUCAACCACAAGCUUUGGAACUUGAACACCAAUGCCAAUUCAAGGCAAAUUAAAUCAAUGCCGUAAGAAGAAUUUGCACAUUCAUUAACAAGAAGAAGGGUCUGAUCUUAGGUCAAAGGUGCAAAUAACAGCAUCAGAACUGUUCUUUUUCCGAUGCUCACAACAACUUCAGCAGUAUACUGCAAAACAAAUAUGGAAUAUCAAGCCAUCUUGACAUCACACAGGAACACAGCUUUUCAAAUAUUUAUAGCAACUGUAUGACGGCAUGGUUAUGUCUAGCAAUUUACUGGCCUUCAUGCACAUAGGAAACAUUUGCUAGAAUGUAGCUAAUUAUGCUAAUUAAGUUUUCUGAUUCAGAACAUAUGAAGUCAUCUGACACAGUACACCUCUUCUGCAUUACAACAGAUGAUACGGUAGAUAUUAAAAUUCUGUAAAUAAACACACACACACACACACACACACACACACACACACACACACACAAAAUUACACCAUCCACCUGUGUGAGGUAAUGCUGUAUAAUUUCUGGCCCUCACAACACAAUAUCAUGCAACAUCAGGUUGAUCUCUGCCCAUUUAAGGUCACACACACAUAGUUCAGGCCCAGGGUCCUCUGGGAUCAGCACUUCAUCUUGGAUGGCAUGCUCUCCCAGCCUCUCACAAAACCCGAUAUGGACAAGGGCAUGUAUUUUCUACAUAGUUUACCUGACAUCCACCUCAAAAUAUGGUGAUUUAAUUUGUACUCCAGUGAGGUGCUGAGCACCACACUGGAUAAACAGGCCUUUGAAACAUAACUGUGUUUUAAAAAGGGUCUUUUUUCCUGUUUUGAUCUCAAGUAAUUCAAAUUGAGAAUCCAUUCAUUCAGGGAUGUCUUAGUAGAAAUUGUGAAAAUUGAAAGAACAGAAAAGAUUCUUGUGCGUUGACUGUGAAGAAUUUGUGGUACAGGGACGAUUAUGUAAGUGUUCGUCAUAUUAUGUUCCCAUAAAUGUUCAUCAUUUUUUCUGUAGGUCUAACGAAAUAUUAUGUUUCCUAUAAAUAACAUUUUGCCAAUUCAUUGGCAUAACUUUUUCAACACUGAAAGUUAAACAGAGACAUGCAUUGUGUCUGUGUGUGUGUGUGUGUGCGUGUGUGCGUGUGUGUGUGUGUGUGUCUGUGUGUGUGUGCGUGUGUGUGUGUGUGUGUGCAUGCAGCUGUGGUUCGAAUGCAACACGAUUAUUUAUGCUGCUGUUCUGUUGAUGUGGCUACAUGCAUUUUACCUUGAAAAAGACAAACGUGUUGACACACAACGCCACUGAUCAUUGUUACGAAACACACACUGUAGUGUACACACACAUUUUCUGGGGAAUGGCUGUUAUAUGGCUCAGGGUCUGAGGAGCCAAGAGACAGAGAGAAAAAACUGAUGAGAUCUGAGAGAAAUACGAUCAGCGGCUCUGUGUGCUUGGUGUAAACUCGGUUUAAAAGACAUUGCUUUGAGGAAGGAUAAAAGAAGAGAUGCAUAGAGGCUGGAAAAGUCAAACUGUAGUAAGAAGCACUAACAAUAAGCAGGGUGGAGAGCAAAGUAACUGAGAAAUGGAUCUGAAUUGGUGGAGGUUGGCACUGUCCUGUGAUUACAGGGAAGCCACUAGCAGGUAUCUUGUUCCUAACAUUUAACAGAUGGCACUUAUGGACCCGUGAAGCACGUCUUUAAAGAGGGCCGGGGCCUCUCCUCUUUUCCCCUCUCAUCCACUGACACAGCAAGAGAUGGAAACACCACCAUGUCCUCUGCCAGUCAAACCAUGGCUAAAUGUAAUCACAUGUCUGCUGAUCUGCAUGUUUGAAGACUGACUGUGUGUGUUAGGCAGAAACAAAAUUCAUUACAUGCAAAGCGUUUGUUUAGAAAUGUUUAAAGCAUAAAACAUAACGGCACACAUAGAAUAUUAAUGGCACAGUGUACAGAUAAAAUAACAUUGCAAUAAUUAUCGAUGGCUGAUAUUGAUGCAUUGUGAUGUUUACUAAAAAUGUUUGUAUUGAAUUGCAUGUGAAAAAGUAACUCUUGUAGAAAAAUGGUUAUUUUGAAAAGCUACAGAAAAGUCACUGAAGUAUUUACGAUUUAUUCCCCUCACAUCACAUUUGU